GUUUGAUUCUGGCUCAGAGUGAACGCUGGCGGCGUGCCUAAUACAUGCAAGUCGAACGAUGAAGCUCUAGCUUGCUAGAGUGGAUUAGUGGCGCACGGGUGAGUAAUGCAUAGAUAACAUGCCCUUUAGUCUAGGAUAGCCAUUGGAAACGAUGAUUAAUACUGGAUACUCCUUACGAGGGAAAGUUUUUCGCUAAAGGAUUGGUCUAUGUCCUAUCAGCUUGUUGAUGAGGUAAUGGCUCACCAAGGCUAUGACGGGUAUCCGGCCUGAGAGGGUGAACGGACACACUGGAACUGAGACACGGUCCAGACUCCUACGGGAGGCAGCAGUAGGGAAUAUUGCUCAAUGGGGGAAACCCUGAAGCAGCAACGCCGCGUGGAGGAUGAAGGUUUUCGGAUUGUAAACUCCUUUUGUUAGAGAAGAUAAUGACGGUAUCUAACGAAUAAGCACCGGCUAACUCCGUGCCAGCAGCCGCGGUAAUACGGAGGGUGCAAGCGUUACUCGGAAUCACUGGGCGUAAAGAGCGCGUAGGCGGGAUAGCAAGUCAGAUGUGAAAUCCUAUGGCUUAACCAUAGAACUGCAUUUGAAACUGUUAUUCUAGAGUAUGGGAGAGGUAGGUGGAAUUCUUGGUGUAGGGGUAAAAUCCGUAGAGAUCAAGAGGAAUACUCAUUGCGAAGGCGACCUGCUAGAACAUAACUGACGCUGAUGCGCGAAAGCGUGGGGAGCAAACAGGAUUAGAUACCCUGGUAGUCCACGCCCUAAACGAUGAAUGCUAGUUGUUGUGGAGCUUGUCUCUGCAGUAAUGCAGCUAACGCAUUAAGCAUUCCGCCUGGGGAGUACGGUCGCAAGAUUAAAACUCAAAGGAAUAGACGGGGACCCGCACAAGCGGUGGAGCAUGUGGUUUAAUUCGAAGAUACACGAAGAACCUUACCUAGGCUUGACAUUGAUAGAAUCCGCUAGAGAUAGUGGAGUGCUAGCUUGCUAGAACUUGAAAACAGGUGCUGCACGGCUGUCGUCAGCUCGUGUCGUGAGAUGUUGGGUUAAGUCCCGCAACGAGCGCAACCCUCGUCCUUAGUUGCUAACUAUUCGGUAGAGCACUCUAAGGAGACUGCCUUCGCAAGGAGGAGGAAGGUGAGGAUGACGUCAAGUCAUCAUGGCCCUUACGCCUAGGGCUACACACGUGCUACAAUGGGAAGCACAAAGAGAUGCAAUAUUGUGAAAUGGAGCAAAUCUAUAAAACUUCUCUCAGUUCGGAUUGUAGUCUGCAACUCGACUACAUGAAGCUGGAAUCGCUAGUAAUCGUAAAUCAGCUAUGUUACGGUGAAUACGUUCCCGGGUCUUGUACUCACCGCCCGUCACACCAUGGGAGUUGUAUUCGCCUUAAGUCGGAAUGCCAAACCGGCUACCGCCCACGGCGGAUGCAGCGACUGGGGUGAAGUCGUAACAAGGUACCC
rnacentral:rRNA from 1 species